rnacentral:rRNA from 1 species
UACGAAGGGGGCUAGCGUUGCUCGGAAUCACUGGGCGUAAAGCGCACGUAGGCGGAUUGUUAAGUCAGGGGUGAAAUCCUGGAACUCAACUCCAGAACUGCCUUUGAUACUGGCGAUCUCGAGUCCGGGAGAGGUUAGUGGAACUGCGAGUGUAGAGGUGAAAUUCGUAGAUAUUCGCAAGAACACCAGUGGCGAAGGCGGACUCACUGGCCCGGUACUGACGCUGAGGUGCGAAAGCGUGGGGAGCAAACAGGG